UUUGGCUCGAAGUGGAGUGACGCUUUUGCCCUCGCUUGAAAUUUUUUUGCAGCCUCUGCCACCGACCAGGAUAUAUCGCGUCUUUCCCGUUGAUUUCCUCUUUCUUCUACAGUUGUGUACUCCAUCUUUAUCAAAUCAAGAACGAUCGAGAGAUAAAGAAAUUGGGUGCGUUUCUUUGCUUUGCACGAAGAGAUAGAGAGGGAGAUCGGGGGAAAAUCCCUAAAGCACAGAGUCGUCGCCGAGUCAAUCAAAUUGAAUCCGAUAAUUUCAGGCUAGGGUUCCAAAGUUUGAACCUUUAAUCUGAUUUUAUGCAAAAAAGUGUACGUAUCAUUGCAGUGUCGCGGUUCCUUGGUCUGCUAUUUAGCAUUGUCUCCAUCUUUUAUUCUUAUUCAGGUGUAAACCUUGAAUUUUUGUUGGAUUUUGGGAACAGUGUGCUGUCGGACAGUUUAAUUGUAUUCAGCAUCAAUCUGGAUUUAUUGCAGAAGAGGUGUAGAGAGAGAGAGAGAGGUAUCUGCGUCUGCAAUAGUUGCAGAAAGUGGAAGGAGGUUUUCUAAGUUUGGGAUUUUAGUGAUUGAUUGGGAGAGGUUGAAGGUAAUAUCGAUCUUACUCGAACAAGUGUGUCGGUCAAGCUGUUGGGUGCGAAGGUAGUUGAUAGAAGGUAAUUUAGAAAAAAGAAGAAGAGGAAUUCUGUCUUUUGCUUUUGUCUAAUAUCGGUGCUGCAACUAAAUUUGGAUUGUCUGAUAUCGCUUGAGGAGGGAUCAGAUUGGCUAGAUUCCAUACUCCUGGAAUGAAGUUUUAGGCUUUGAUUUUGUUUCUUAGUAUUAACGUUUCGUUCAACCUUUAAACCAAGAGAAAAUUAAUAGACAGAGAAGAAAUUUGGUCGUCUAGAAGCCUUGUUUUGUUGUCUUUGUGUGUAAUUUAAUUGAUGGUCUAGGUGCGUUUUGUGAAACAUACAUAUGUUUUGGUUACAAUUGGAAUUUUGUCAUUUGUUUUUGUUGGGUUUUUUAUUUUUUAUUUUUAUUAUUUAUUAACUUGGA